rnacentral:rRNA from 1 species
UACGUAGGGUGCAAGCGUUGUCCGGAAUUAUUGGGCGUAAAGAGCUCGUAGGCGGUUUGUCGCGUCGGCUGUGAAAACUCGGGACUCAACCCCGAGCCUGCAGUCGAUACGGGCAGACUAGAGUGCUGUAGGGGAGACUGGAAUUCCUGGUGUAGCGGUGAAAUGCGCAGAUAUCAGGAGGAACACCGGUGGCGAAGGCGGGUCUCUGGGCAGUAACUGACGCUGAGGAGCGAAAGCGUGGGGAGCGAACAGG